rnacentral:misc_RNA from 1 species
GAGGUGGUGUGUGCGCCGUGCUGGGCGAAGUUAUUGUUUGGUGUUGUGAGGAUCAGUACACAUCAUUUGCUCUGCGCUGUUACUGGAACUCGGACAUGUGUGCUCCUUCACUUCGUUUGGCAUGAAGUGCUGAAGUUACCUGCUACAAAGAAGAGUUUGACGUACAAAAUACUGCAGUGUUGUUUCCUCAGCCAUGGAUUUUUCAGCAGUUCAGUUUGGGGAUGAAAUGUUAGGAUACAAUGAAAACAGCACAUUCAGUGAAGACAACUCAGCAUAUGCAGAAAUGUAUCCUGGAGAAGCAGGGGAGCCUUUUUCAGCUGGAGGAGAGUUUGGCCAUGACAGUCAAGGUGGAGAGUUCAUGAGUGGUGGGGAGUUCCAAGAAAGUCAGUCAGUGUUGGUUGACGGAGGGGAUCGAUUUGGUGUGUCAGCUGUUAUAGUUGACCGGAAAGAAGAGCUAGUCUGGAUGGGGAAUUCUGGGGGGCAUGUUACGUCAUACCUCAGCACAGAUCUGAUGAAAUAUACAUCUUUCCAAGUACAUGCCACUGAAGAAAUUCGUGACCUGAGAUCAGUUGACCAAGGAAUACUUGCUUUGACCCCAACUUCACUUAACCUGCGCACAAGACAGGGAAUGCCAUCCUUCACUCAUCAAUCAGCUCAACUAGAAAACAUGCAGUGCAUGCUUCAGUUGGGUGGCAAUUUUUCUCAUCGCCUGCUCAUGGGAGGACACCAGGGAUCAAUGAUUGAGUUUGAUCUGACACAAGGAAAACAGACAAGAUGUCUCCAAGUUGGAGAGCAAGGUUGUGUAAUUCUGCGUGACCAUCCGAGGUUUGUGUGCCACGGUGAUCUCACUGGCAGAAUCGUCCUUCAUGAUCCUCGGACAUUGCGUCAGGAGCAUUGCUUUCAAGCUCACACUGGGAGCCUCUCAGAUUUUGAUGUUCUAGGAAAUUACAUCGCUACUUGUGGUUUCUCAAACAGAAUGGGUCAACUAUUGGGUGAUCAGUUUGUGAUGGUAUUUGAUCUCCGAAUGAUGAAGCUUUCCCUGCCUCUACGUGCCCUGGUGCCUCCUUUGCUCCUGAGGUUUGUGCCAGGCCUGUCCUCUUGUCUGGCUGUAGUGUCUCCUGUUGGACAGUGGCAGCUGAUGGAUGCUGGCCAGCCAGAUAAUGCCAUCAUGAGUAUGAACUAUCAGGUGAGCUGUGUACCAGAAAGCGUUAUCACCUCCUUUGAUGUAGCAUCAUCCUCCCAGGCAGUAGUGUUUGGAGACAGCCUGGGAUCCCUGCAUCUCUUCACCUCAGGCAGUAAACCUACAUUCAAUAACUUCUCACAGGAAACGAUUAUGAUUGACAUGCAAGAUACAACGCACACUAUGCCCUUGACUGACAACACCUCAUCUCUUGCUUCAAUCCCAGUGUAUUUUCCAUCAAAUCCUCUGCUGUCUGAUUGGCCAGAGCAAUACAUGAAAGUUCGCUACAGACCAACUCCUCCAGUUGAUCCAGCAAUUCUGCAGAGCAUGAAGAUUGUGGGAUCAAUUGGUUAUGCUCCAAAUCUUUACAACAAGAAAAGAAACCAGGUUCCAUACAAAUUCAGUCGAACAAAAGGGCAAAAGUCUGCUGCAGGUGAACUCCCUCAAGGAAAGAAUGAUCAAGGCAUGGCUGUUCAUGUCCCGUGGAGGUACAGGAGGAUAGAAAUAAAAUAUGGCAAACAUGGUAUGGAUGAUUUUGACUAUGACCAGUAUAACAGAACAAGUUUCUCUGGUCUAGACAUGUCUCUGCCCAAUUCCUACUGCAACCCAAUGCUUCAAAUGUUUUAUUAUAUAGCUCCUUUGCGUGCUCUCAUGAUGUCCCACCUGUGUGAACGAGAAUUCUGCCUGGUCUGUGAGUUAGGUUUCCUGUUCCAUAUGUUAGAUGUCAGCAUGGGCCAAGGCACACCCUGUCAUGCAUCCAACUUCCUGCGAGCAUUCAGAACUAUCCCUGAGGCAUCUGCAAUGAGUCUUACACUUUCUGAUCAGGACAAUCGAGCAAAGAUCAAUUUUCUUUCAAAAAUUCAGAGCUGGAACAGGUUUGUUUUGCAACAGCUGCAUUCAGAAACACUUGAAGAAAAGGUUGAUCACUCCUGCCCUGAGAAGUAUGAAGAAAAGGUUUUACAAGUGACUGAUAGUAAUGAAGAAAAGGACACAAAAAGUGAAAAGACUUACAGCACUGAGAGGCAAGAUAAGCGAGAACACUCACCAGUGUCUUCCAUUUUUGGUGCACAUGUUGUCAGCAUCAACAAAUGCACCAAAUGUAGCUUUGAAAUCCACAAAGAAACCACAUCACUUCUUGUGAAUUUAGCAUUUCCUGAAGUUAUUGAUGGGAGGUGCUCAUUUGCAUCAGUGGUUGAAAGGAGCCUAAGUCUGGAGCAGACAAGGCAGGCUUGGUGUGACUCAUGCACAAGAUAUCAGCCCAUUGAACAGAGCCGACGCUACAAAACUCUGCCCAAAACUUUGGCCAUGAAUUGUGGUCUGGAUAGUUCUCAGGAUAUUAAAUUUUGGAAACACCAGUUUGAGCUGAUGCUGACAGAGAUUCGUGACAAAAAGAAGGAGGAAGAAAGAAAAGCUGCUGAAGCUAAGCAAGGAAGUGCUGACAAAGAAAAUAAUAAAAGUAGUGAGAAAACAGCUCCAUCUUUAGCAACAGGAAGCCCUUCAACACCCUCCAAGAGAUACCCCGAUAGUUCCACUCCUCAGCCGUCCCCUGCCAGGCCCUGUAGGUACGGCCUUGCUUGCACACGCCAUGACUGCAGGUUCUGGCAUCCAGGCCGAGACAGCAGCGAAGAAAUGGGGCCUCUCCCUGCUCUCAGCCUGCUGGACCAAACCAUGGAGUACUCGUGGGUUCCCUUAGGGAUGAAGGCCAAGCUUAAUGAAGAUGGCACAGUUUCUUUCUCAGAACUCACCAAAACUGAGCUUGAGACUGCUGUAGAUGAUGAGCAUGGUGUGGUGUAUGAAUUGGUGGGAGUGGUGUCCCAUGUGGCAGAUCCUCGCUUCCCUGACAAGAACAACUUGGUGGCAUGCAUCAGAGUUGGCCCCAGUUACCAUGUGCGGGCAAAGGUUUCCUCUGUCUCUCACUGGUACCUCUUUAAUGAUAUAAGCAUUCAGCCAAUAACAGCAGAAGAAGCAGUUUGGUUUCCCUGUGGCUGGAAAACACCGUGUGUACUCUAUUGGCAGCGAAAGAAGUUUCAUACAGAAUUCCAGAAAGCAGAACCCACUAAUCCCAUUACUGCUGAUGUGUUUGGAGAAGACAAGUCCUUGGCACAGAGGGGUCGAAAGAGGAUAACUUUCACACCACUCACAGCUGAUGAAAUGCCAGGGGAAGGUGAUCUGGUUGCCAUGGAUGCAGAAUUUGUAAACCUACACCAAGAGGAAGCUGAAAUCCGCAGUGAUGGCACACGCACCACCAUUAAGCCUUCACACAAGUCUGUUGCCAGAAUCACCUGCAUCCGAGGACAAGGUCCAUUGGAGGGCACACCCUUCAUGGAUGAUUACAUCUCCACACAGGAACAGGUGGUAGAUUACCUCACACAGUUCUCGGGUAUCAAACCAGGAGACCUUGAUGCAAACUUCUCACAGAAGCAUUUAACUACUCUGAAAUCCACCUAUGUCAAACUUCGUUACUUGGUUGACAAGGGCGUGAAAUUUGUAGGACAUGGCUUGAAGAAUGAUUUCAGAGUAAUCAACAUGACUGUUCCCAUGGCUCAACUGAUAGACACAGUGCACCUCUUCCACAUGUCCCACAACCGCAUGGUGUCUCUCAAGUUCCUUGCUUGGCAUUUCAUGAAACUCAAGAUCCAGAGUGUCACCCAUGAUAGUAUUGAGGAUGCCAGAACAGCUCUGGCACUCUACCAGAAGUACUGUGAACUGAAAGCUGAGGGAGACCUGGUGAUGGAGCUGCAGAAACUGUAUGAAGCUGGUAAGAAGGCUCAGUGGAGGGUUCCUGGUGAAGAAGAAGAUGAGUAGAUUGUAGUGAGUUGGAAUGAGUAAGGGACAUUCCACAGGUAUUUUGCAUAUAGUUGACAGCAGCGGAUGCCGUUGUGUUCAUACCUAACGUAUUGACAUAAAUGUACAAAUAGAAGUCAUUUUAGAUUUAUUUUAGCAAGGGAUAAUGUAUGUACAUGUUUACAUUUUCUAUUUUGUUCUCCCUCUUGUGUGGGAAAAUGACUUGUAAAGGCUUUUUAUUUUAUUUAUAUUUUUUGUUACCAUUUUUAUUGUUAUUAUUAUAGUAUUAAUGAUAAUUAUUGUUAGUAGUAUUAAUAUUAUUGUUAGCAUUUUUAUUUAUUCAUUCUUUUAUUUUAUUUGUACUUAUUUUUUAUGUAGUAUUUAUUGAUUUUUUCUACUAAGGUAAGGAUAUCUCAAGUCAUCAAUUUACAUUGGUAUGUUAUCAUCAAAGGAGUAUCAUUUUGAAUGCUUUUUUUAAGAUACAAUACUGGCUCACUACCACACAUACAGAUAUAUGGAAAAAUGAUGGAUGGAUAUAUUUGGUAAGAAAAUACUCAUUUAUGAAUGUGUGUGUGUGUGUGUGUGUGUGUGUGUGUGUGUGUGUGUGUGUGUGUGUGUGUG